ensembl:lncRNA
GCGCUUUUAUGGAGCUGAGUCACGGACGUCUGGUGUCAGAGUAUUGUCGCUGUCACAAGUGGUAACGUGUUUGUGCAAGCUGAAUCUGCUGAUUCCACGCUAUUGAGCUGCAUGUUUUUAGGAUCCAUCUUCUGCCUGCUUCUACUUUGUUUUAGCCUGUUCCGCUGCCUGCUCGCCUGCCUAGUUUCUUUGUGUUGGCUACUGUGGAUCCCUGACGGAGAGCUACGUUACACCAGUCUGUGAUCACUGCUACAGCUGUAGUUUUGUGUUUCAAGUAAGCUCUCCAACUCUCUCCGUCCACUUUAGUUUAAAUCUCGGCUGUCGACGUUACUCCGUAAACUCUGUUUGUCCCUCGUUUUCAGGUAGCUCCGGUGCGUCAUCUGCCCACCCACAUACCUUGGCUCUGUCUCAUCUCUUCGGCUUUGCUCUCCUUGCACAUUUUUAUUUGUCACUGUAUAUAGCCCCCUCCCUUGUAAAUAUUCCCCAUCAUUGUAGAUAAACUUGCAUCACAACUCUCUUGUGCCCGUGUGUGUUUCUGCCACUAAAUCCAUCCGUGCAGUUUUCCUAACAACACCUGAGGUGUGGAGUCCUGCAUGGACCCGAGGGGAGACACACCCUUGAAGACAACACAACAAAGGAGGCAAUAAGGAAGAAAGGAAGAAAAAGACUCAAGGAACUAAACUGCACUAGAGAUGUACCCAACAUAAGUGAAUCUGAAAAACCUUCCUACAGUUUAGUGUCAAUUUAAACAGCCGCUCAAGUUGUUUUCCUUAUUAUAAUUAUGGUUGUCUUUUGGAGAAAUGUACAGUAUGUGAAAGGAAGUUGCAGCCAUUAUUAUUUAAGAAUGUCUUUGACUGUUUUUGUGAGUAACAUCUUUUUACCCUCAUGAGUCAUGGCUUCUUUCUUUCUGCUCAUGCGUAACAUUUUUUGUCACAUGUACAGUAUGCUUUAACUAAU